GGGUGAGCGCGGCUAUCUGCAGUCGAGCGAACAGACGAGGAGCUUGCUCCUCUGACGUUAGCGGCGGACGGUUGAGUAACACGUGGAUAACCUACCUAUAAGACUGGGAUAACUUCGGGAAACCGGAGCUAAUACCGGAUAAUAUAUUGAACCGCAUGGUUCAAUAGUGAAAGACGGUUUUGCUGUCACUUAUAGAUGGAUCCGCGCCGCAUUAGCUAGUUGGUAAGGUAACGGCUUACCAAGGCAACGAUGCGUAGCCGACCUGAGAGGGUGAUCGGCCACACUGGAACUGAGACACGGUCCAGACUCCUACGGGAGGCAGCAGUAGGGAAUCUUCCGCAAUGGGCGAAAGCCUGACGGAGCAACGCCGCGUGAGUGAUGAAGGUCUUCGGAUCGUAAAACUCUGUUAUUAGGGAAGAACAAAUGUGUAAGUAACUAUGCACGUCUUGACGGUACCUAAUCAGAAAGCCACGGCUAACUACGUGCCAGCAGCCGCGGUAAUACGUAGGUGGCAAGCGUUAUCCGGAAUUAUUGGGCGUAAAGCGCGCGUAGGCGGUUUUUUAAGUCUGAUGUGAAAGCCCACGGCUCAACCGUGGAGGGUCAUUGGAAACUGGAAAACUUGAGUGCAGAAGAGGAAAGUGGAAUUCCAUGUGUAGCGGUGAAAUGCGCAGAGAUAUGGAGGAACACCAGUGGCGAAGGCGACUUUCUGGUCUGUAACUGACGCUGAUGUGCGAAAGCGUGGGGAUCAAACAGGAUUAGAUACCCUGGUAGUCCACGCCGUAAACGAUGAGUGGUAAGUGUUAGGGGGUUUUCCGCCCUUAGUGCUGCAACUAACGCAAUAAGCACUCC
rnacentral:rRNA from 1 species